CAGUUGAUAAACUGAAUCCUGAAGCUAUGGGGCUGAGGAGCACCAGGGGCUCACCAUCACUGCUAUUAUAUUGAAGAAAAUGUACUGGGCUUCCAUUCCCCACCCCUGCUCACUGUGAUAUGAAGGCACACAGAACAGAAUACUAUCUGGAUUCCUUUGGCAGAUGCUCAUUAUAUGCAUUUAGUGGGUGUUCUCUGAGUCAGACAACACUCCAAAGCAUAGGAAUCAAUAUGGUUAGAUGGCUGAGCCUCAUUUCUUUAUCCCGUGGCUCUGAACCCCGCUGCACAUCACAAUCAACUUCGAGUUUUUAAAAAUACCAGUGCCUGCCACCUUCUAAGAGAUUCUGCUGUUAUUGGUGACUCUGAUGUAUAGCUGAUGAAGUCUGGAUCCCAGUCUCACUGCUCCUUCUCUGGUAAUUAAUACCAACGACUUGG
rnacentral:lncRNA from 1 species